rnacentral:rRNA from 1 species
AAAAACAUGUCUUUUUGAAUAAAAUUUAAAGUCUAACCUGCCCAAUGAUWUUAUAUUUAAAGGCCGCRGUAUUUUGACUGUGCARAGGUAGCRUAAUUAUUUGUCUUUUAAUUGAAGGCUUGNAUGAAUGGWUGGAUGAGGUAUAAACUGUCUCAGUUUAAAAAAUUAAAAAAUUAAUUUUUAAGUUAAAAAGCUUAAAUUAAUUUAAAAGACGAGAAGACCCUAUAGAUUUUUAUAUAAAAAAUAUUUAAUUUAUUAAGAAAUAAAUUUAUUUUAAUUAUUUUUUGUAUUUAAUUGGGGUGAUUGAAAAAUUUAAUAAACUUUUUUUAUAAAAAACMUUAAUUUAUGAAUAUUUGAUCCAAUUUUAUUGAUUAUAAGAUUAAAUUACYUUAGGGAUAACAGCGUAAUUUUUUUAGAGAGUUCUUAUCGAUAAAAAAGAUUGCGACCUCGAUGUUGAAUUAAGAAAUAUAUUUAAAUGCAGAAGUUWAAAUGUUAGGUUUGUUCAACCUUUAAUUUCUUACAUGAUCU